CUGGGAAAUAGGAAGUGGAGUCAACAAGGCCAGGAGAGAGCAUGCUGGGAAAGAGGGAGUGAGGGCAACAAGGCCAGGAGAGAGCAUGCUGGGAAAGAGGAAGUGAGGGCAACAAGGCCAGGAGAGAGCAUGCUGGGAAAGAGGAAGUGAAGGCAACAAGGCGAAGAGAGAGCAGACACAGAUCUGGCAGCAGCAGCAGUAUAUAGGUGUAUAUAGGAAUAUACUGAGGGGGCUGCAUGUCUCUGGUCCCUUAUUAGGGCCACACGUAUUUAUCCCUCGUCCAAUUCUGUACAAGGGCCACCAUCAUGGGGGCACAGUGGAUUUCAACUUACAAGGGGCCCGGGGAAGAAGAAUCUGCUGCUGUCGCUGGAGAAGGAUGAAGGAGCCGCUGGAUAAGAAGCCACCCUAGGGGAGUGAAGAAGUAUCUGCUGCUGAACUUUAGAGCCUUGAAUAUCUGGAGAAAGAAGUAUUUACUAACAACCUCACCGCCCAGUUCAACACUAGCAGCCGCUGACUGAUUGGACCUCACCACGGUGCUACCUCCUGUCUUCAUUCAGACCUCAGUGAUGCACAGACCUGGGACAUGUCUAUACUUUUCUGGGUUUGUGCCUUUAACAGACCAAUUAAAGGGGCGAUUCACCUUUAAGUUAACUUUUAGCAUGUUAUAGAAUGACUAAUUCUAAGCAAAUUUUCAAUUGGCCUU